GAAACAACUCCUUACUAUAAUGCAACCGCCAUGUUUAUGCGGGGAAGACCGAGUUUUGUGAUUACAAAAAGGUUGAUUUAGCGGAUCGUAUAUAUCAGAAUGACACUCAUGACGAAACAUAGAAAUAGUUCCUACUUUAAGUGUUGGCAGAAUAUGCUGUUCUGAUUGCAGAGGUAUGUGAAAUGGAAAGAACGAGAUACAUGUACAUACAGAGACUGU